CAUACCUUACUGUUGCCUCGGCGGAUCAGCCCGCUCCCGGUAAAACGGGACGGCCCGCCAGAGGACCCCUAAACUCUGUUUCUAUAUGUAACUUCUGAGUAAAACCAUAAAUAAAUCAAAACUUUCAACAACGGAUCUCUUGGUUCUGGCAUCGAUGAAGAACGCAGCAAAAUGCGAUAAGUAAUGUGAAUUGCAGAAUUCAGUGAAUCAUCGAAUCUUUGAACGCACAUUGCGCCCGCCAGUAUUCUGGCGGGCAUGCCUGUUCGAGCGUCAUUUCAACCCUCAAGCCCUCGGGUUUGGUGUUGGGGAUCGGCGAGCCUUUCUGGCAAGCCGGCCCCGAAAUCUAGUGGCGGUCUCGCUGCAGCCUCCAUUGCGUAGUAGUAAAACCCUCGCAACUGGAACGCGGCGCGGCCAAGCCGUUAAACCCCCAACUUCUGAAUGUUGACCUCGGAUCAGGUAGGAAUACCCGCUGAACUUAA
rnacentral:rRNA from 1 species